rnacentral:rRNA from 1 species
AGCUCUGUAAGCGUAUACCAAAGUUGUUGCAGUUAAAACGCUCGUAGUCGGAUUUUGGCAGUUCCGGAUGUGUGCGCGUCGUGCGCGCACUUUGCAGGGAUUGCUUUUGUGGGUAUGCGUGGGAUGAUGCAACUUUAUUGUUGAACGUCCCUACGCAACCACUCUUUACUGUGAGAAAAUUAGAGUGUUCAAAGCAGGCAAUUGCCGUGAAUACAUUAGCAUGGAAUAAUAGAAUAGGACUCUGUCUUAUUUUGUUGGUUUGUUAAUUCGGAGUAAUGAUUAAGAGGGACAGUUGGGGGCAUUUGUAUUUCGGCGCUAGAGGUGAAAUUCUUAGAUUGCCGAAAGACAAACUGCUGCGAAAGCGUCUGCCAAGGAUGUUUUCAUUGAUCAAGAACGAAAG